rnacentral:rRNA from 1 species
UACGAAGGGGGCUAGCGUUGUUCGGAAUUACUGGGCGUAAAGCGCACGUAGGCGGAUACUUAAGUUAGGGGUGAAAUCCCAGAGCUCAACUCUGGAACUGCCUUUAAUACUGGGUAUCUCGAGUCCGAGAGAGGUGAGUGGAAUUCCGAGUGUAGAGGUGAAAUUCGUAGAUAUUCGGAGGAACACCAGUGGCGAAGGCGGCUCACUGGCUCGGUACUGACGCUGAGGCGCGAAAGCGUGGGGAGCAAACAGG